rnacentral:rRNA from 1 species
GACAGAGGGUGCAAACGUUGUUCGGAAUCACUGGGCGUAAAGCGUGUGUAGGCGGCUUCUCAAGUCGGGUGUGAAAUCCCAGGGCUCAACCCUGGAAGUGCAUUCGAAACUGGGUAGCUAGAGUACUGGAGAGGAAGGUGGAAUGCUUGGUGUAGAGGUGAAAUUCGUAGAUAUCAAGCGGAACACCGGUGGCGAAGGCGGCCUUCUGGACGGAUACUGACGCUGAGACACGAAAGCGUGGGGAGCAAACAGG